CAUAGUAGUUUAUAUUUUGUUUGUUUAUAAACUUAGUCGACUUUCAAUAUCCAAAGCAAGUUCUAAAAUAACAGUUGGAGUUAACAAAAUAAUUUUUUUAGAAAAAAUUAAAGGAAAACAUAAUGUAACUUUUUAAUAUUUUUAAUUUAUAGUCUAAAUUAACCAUUGGAGUUACUAACUGUGGAAAAACUAUUGUUCUAUUUAUUUGAUCAGGAACACUUUUUUUUUUGUAGCUUAAAUCAGUAGCACUUGGCUUUGUGAUAUUUUUUAAAUUACAAAUAUUAUAUGAAAAACUAAUCUAUAUUUAUUUAUUUUCCUUUUUUUCCAAAACUGAAACUGGGUUCUUUUCUUUAGAGUUUAGACUGUGAUUGAAACUGGAUAGAUGAUGAGUCAAUUUAUUAAAUGUUCAGUCUUCUUUUUUAUCUCAAAUUUUUCAUAUUAAAAGGUGAAAGAUAAAAUGGUGCAAGCUAUAUGCCUAAAAGUCAAUGUUACAACCCAGUUAAAUGAUAAAAGCCCCGUAAAUUAAGCAGCCCAAAUACAGAACUCAUGAAAGAUCUCUUUUGAACCCAAUAGAAAAGUGACGGCGGAAAAUUUGCAUGCGAGACGGAUCCGGAGUUACUUUCGAGGAGCCGAUAAUCAAAGAAAGAUGAGGACAGUGAGGAAAAGAAGAUCAUCUAAAGAUAAGUGAAUGCUUUAUCCAGUUUCGUAUCUCAGAACUAUUGUUAAUUGUACACUCAUUUUUUUUUUUAUCUAGAAUCGCUUCUUCGUCUCCAAUUAAUCUUGAUGUAUCGCUAGCAUCAACUCUUCUUUCACGUUAUCAAUCGCUGGCAGUUUCAGCGUCUUCAUGCUAUUCACCGGCACAACCGUUGAUUUCACCUUUUUUAGCCACCGGCAAACUUCUUCACCGUCUAAACCACAACACAGCUUCUAUCGCCGCGUUAACCACCUUCAGAUCGGAGGAAAAGAACAGUCGGUUGGACACAACGACGGCUUACACCGCAUUGAAGAUUUCUUCGCGUUGGUACAAUUAAGGUUCAAUAUAAUGGGUCAUCCCGCUGCACACACCCAUCCAAUUUAUUGGUCCAAAAUACUUCAGGUUAGACGUCAAACGAAUUUAGCCCAAUUUGUCAGGAUUGCCAAUUAAUGAAACGCUGUGUUUUGAGAGAGCCGACACGUGUCAGCUCCGUGACGCACGACUUAUUGGAUGCUGAGGUGUCUCUCUAAGGAGAGAGUAAACAUUCUUUUAUAUAUAAAGAUUUUAAGUCAAAGAAUAAGUCACGAUAUAUUAAUAUCAUUGGUCAUUUUUUUUAACAUUACCAUUGGACUUUUUUUAUGACUAACGAGUAAUAUUUGUAUACGAAGUUUUAAUAUGCAUACCAUAGAUUUGAUUUUGUAGCUGAUU